rnacentral:rRNA from 1 species
CUACGGGGUGCACCAGUCGAGAAUAGUCUACAAUGGACGAAAGUCUGAUAGUGCGACGCCGCGUGGAUGAAGAAGCAUUUCGGUGUGUAAAGUCCUUUUCUGUGUGAGCAAUGUUUUCCAGGUUAAUAGCUUGGAGAAAGCGAUAUUAACACAGGAAUAAGCUCCGGCUAACUCCGUGCCAGCAGCCGCGGUAACACGGGGGGAGCAAGCGUUGUCCGGAAUUACUAGGCGUAAAGGGUAAGUAGGCGGAAUUGUAAGUCAGAUGUUAAAGGCACCGGCUCAACCGGUGUAUGGCAUUUGAUACUGUAAUUCUAGAGUAAGGUGGGGGAAGACGGAAUUCCUGGUGUAGCGGUGGAAUGCGCAGAUAUCAGGAGGAACACCAGAGGCGCAGGCGGUCUUCUAUACCAUUACUGACGCUCAAUUACGAAGGUGUGGGUAUCAAACAGGAUUAGAUACCCGGGUAGUC